AAAGCUGGGCUCCCCGUUUCCUGGACCCUUGAUAGGAGUUAAUUCUUCAUACCACCACAGCCUAACAAGUUUGGAAGUAUAUUUUUGGUAAACUAGUGAACCAGCAGAUGAUUCUAAUUUCAAAUAACAAAAGGACCAAGGAGAAAAGGACAGGAGAAUUGUAAAUCCAUCUUCUCUUCUCAACAAGACGGUGGAGCGGUGUUUCUGAAAUGUCCAACAGGAAAACUUGCAUGUCUGCCUAGAAGGAGCUGAAGGCUGUUUCUAUCGGACGCCAAAGCCUUCAAGUGCCAAGAAGUUAACAAAGCAGCAGAGAGCUAUAGUGAAAGCCAGAAUAAAGGAACAUGUACAUCCACCCAGUAGAUCUGACAAAAACGCUGAAAUAAAUGGUGGUUGUACUUUGUUGACAUCCCCAGAAGAUGGUGAUCCAUUGUUCCAAAGAAUACAUUGGGACCGUAUCUGUCUUUGUGAAGACCAAGACAGUUUGUCCAUUGUCCUUUUGCCCUGUGCAAUAAAUCACCAUGGUGCUAAAUAUAUGCACCGAAAUGGCAGAAAACCAAAUGUCAGGGUAGAUCUUAAAAUGUUUUUCUGUCUGUUUUUGUUGGUCACUACUGAUGGAUGAUGUAAUUUCCUCCUGGAGUGAAAACAUUCUAUGAGAGGGCUAAGUAUGCUCCCAUGUCAAUACAGGCCCACCUCAAUGUUUGACUCUUGGCAACAGACAAUGUGUUUUGAAGGCUUUGCUUUAGCUUUCUCCAAACUUUAACCUGUCCAAGCUGGUCAUGA